rnacentral:lncRNA from 1 species
AUGCUAACAAUGCUUAAUAUCUUACGACUGCAUUGGGGCCAGCAAUUUGUGUGUACUCACUCACGCGGAGAUAGGAGUUUUGCUUGCUGCAACGAGAACCAUUUUGUGGAUGAACAAGGAAUCAUGUUUGUUCUUAGACGAGAGGAGGUUGUAAAGGAUGAACCUGACAUCAACCAGAUGAUCCAACGCUGGCCAGUGCUUUUUUGACUGAAAACCAGGUUUGUGGAUGUGUCGUUUAAUGUAUUUUUUUUCUUAUUUGUUUUACAUAUAUGAUGUUCAGAGAGGUUUAUUUGUGUUAUAAAUAACUCUGCCUGAAUAUCAAAACUGAGCAUAUUUAAUAUUUUUCAGGUUUACCUGGAGUUUAACAGGAUUGUUGGUAGAAAUUUUAAAGAAGAGUUCUUUGGUGUUCUUGAUGGGUUGUGUCCAAUUUUGAUGGAAAUUUCAAGAGGAAGACAGGUCGGAUAGAAAAGCAAUUAGCUGACCUGCUACAACACAACGGUGGGUUGAUAUUUCUCUUUUCUUCUCAUAAUGGUAUUGAUGGUUAGUUCAAUACAUAAACUGUUCUCUUGUGGUAUUUCUCUAUAUGGACAAAUAAACUGAUAUAAGAUUUAUUUCCUUUGUUCUAC